UUUAUACUUCCUCCGUUUCGAAUUACUUGUCGCAGGUAUGGAUGUAUCUAAAUGUAUUUUAGUUCUAGAUACAUUCAUUUCCAUGACGAGUAAUUUGAAACGGAGGGAGUUGAAG
rnacentral:pre_miRNA from 1 species